AUGCCUGUUCGAGCGUCAUUAUGACCAAUCAAGCCUGGCUUGGUGUUGGGGUUCGCGGUCCCGCGGCCCUUAAAAUCAGUGGCGGUGCGCCCGGCUCUAAGCGUAGUAAUUUUCUCGCUAUAGUGUCCGGGUGGUUACCUGCCAGAACCCCCCAUUUUACGGUUGACCUCGGAUCAGGUAGGGAUACCCGCUGAACUUAA
rnacentral:misc_RNA from 1 species